rnacentral:rRNA from 1 species
AUGGGUAGUGCAUGCAUGCGAUGGGGAAGUGGAGAGUUGCAGUCAACACCCCUCCGCAGUCUGAGCAUCGGGAGGAAGGAUGCGCAGGCUGGACCUGAACUUUUGGAACGCCGGUGUCGGGAGGCCCUUCGUCAUAAUGUCGGCGAACUGCUGUGUGGUGGGGUCGUGGAGAACACGCAGCUGUCCCAAGGCCACCUUCUCGCGUACAAAGUGGAUGUCGAGCUCGAUAUGCUUUGUGCGCCGAUGAUGCACUGGGUUGGCCGCCAUAUACACCGAGGAGAUGUUGUCGCAGUACGUGACCGUGGCGGCUGGGACAGGAACAUGGAGCUCGCCGAGGAGUUGACGGAGCCAGCAGCAUUCGGCGACGGCGUUCGUCACAGCACGGUACUCGGCCUCAGCGCUCGAACGGGAGACUGUUGGCUGUCGUUUGGAGGACCAGGACACCAACGAGUCGCCAAGGUAGACGACGUAGCCGGAUGUCGACCGCCGUGUGUCGGGGUAGCCGGCCCAGUCCGCGUCAGAGUACGCGACCAGGUUGAGCUCGGAGGAGCGGCGAAGGUGGAGCCCAUGCGUAGUCGUGCCACGCAGAUAGCGGAGGAUGCGCUUGACCAGCGUGAGAUGGUGCUCCCGGGGGUCGUGCAUGUAGAGGCACGCCUGCUGCACGGCAUACGCCAGAUCAGGCUGCGUCAGGGUAACGUACUGGAGAGCUCCCACAAUGCUGCGAUACUCAGAGGCAUCGCGGACCGGGGCACCAGCGGCAGCGGAGAGCUUGGAGCGGGUGUCAAUCGGCGUGGAGGCCGGCUUGCAGCCAGCCAUGUCGGCACGAUCCAGCAGCUCGUCCGCGUACUUGCGCUGGGACAGAAAGAAGCCAUCGGUGGUGCGCGUCACACUGAUGCCAAGGAAGUAGUGGAGCGCGCCAAGGUCUUUCAUGAAGAACUCGGCGAAGAGUUGUUGCUGGAGCCGGCGGAGAAGCGACGUGGAGGAGGCCGUGAGCACAAUGUCGUCGACGUACAAGAGUAG